UCUUACCAAACCCUCUCUUCUCCAAAUCUUCUCUUUUCCUUUCACUCUUUCUUACCAAACCCUCUCUUCUUCAACAAUGUAGAGUCCGAUCUUCAACAACGGAUCUUUGAUUUCGUGGGCGUUGUCAUUGUCGUGGGUCUCUGUCCAGCGUCCAACGUCUCUUCUCGUCCGGCGUUCCGUCUGGCGUCUCUUUCCGUCCGGCCAUACAGCUUUGUGGGCAUUCUUUCUUUUCCGAUUCAAUGGGUCCAGCGUUCAUGGCGUUCCAUCCAACCGUCCAUAGAUCUAUACAUUCGAUGGGUCUAUAGAUCUAGUGGAUCCGGCGUUCGUGGCAUUCCAUCCGUAGAUCUGUCCAGCUGUCCAUAUAUACGACUUGCAAAAACAGUGACCACACCUUACACAGCGUCCGUAGAUCUGGUGUUCCAUCCGUAGAUCUGUCCAGUCGUUCGUAGAUCCUUGGUAUAUCUUCUCGCCGUCUGUAGAUCUUCUCGCCAUCCGUAUAUACGACUCGCCGUCCGUAAAUCUUCUCGCCGUCUGUGGAGUGAGAAUCUUUGUGGCCUGAGUUGGAUCAAUUGCUUCGAAAUGAGGAUGAUGUAACAAUAGUGACCACACCUUACACGGCUGCCAUAUCAGAAUAUCGAGUGGUAUUCUAUGAUCCUGUAGAUGUGACUGAUGACAACAAGAACUGGAUGAAUGCAAAUGGUCAUGUUGUACAUGAUGCUUAACUUCCAUUCAGAUCUAAUGUGGUUGUGAGGAAGGAGCUCCAUACACCUGCAUCUGAUCGUUCUUGUACUCAUCUAAAGUUUGAUAUUUCUUGGUCUACACUCAAUGAAUGGACAUGUUUUAAGAAGGUUAACAAGUGGAGAAGGUGCACCCAACACAAAAAGGACUUCAUAACAACAUUAAUAAUAGGUAUAAGGUAAUAUUUAUAAUAUGCUUAUCUUAAAAGUCUAUUUGUUCAAAAGUGUUGGAUUAGAUUCAGUGUUGGAAUGCUAUGACUAUCCUGCAGUUAUGGUAGUCAUAGCUUAGUUGUUUAUGACUUCCAUUGAGUGGUUUAUGGUAGUGAAACUUUUUAGGCAUCAUUUGGUAAUUUAUAUUUAUGCAUUAUUUGUCUAAAUGAAUCUGUUUGGUGUGCUUUUUAGUUGCUUGAAGUUUUGGUGUUGCUUUAGGGGUUUUUUUACUUUUUAGUUAUAUGGAUAAUGUAAAACUUUUUAGUUGGAGAUGCUAAUUUCCUCCUUUCCUAUUAUAUGUUGAAUUCUUAUUAUAUGUUGUUUGCCCAUUUUUCUCUGCUUGUAGGAAGUCAUGCUUUCAAUUUGGAUCAAAUCUAUGGUGGAUGGUGGAGAGAACAUAACGAAGGAGUAAUUGAAAGACUAUUUGGAAAACACUAUAUAAUGACUAGUGUGUGUGCAAUUCUGUUUGUAUUUUAUAGUUUACAAGUUUUUGUUUGUAUUCUAUACUUUAAAAGUAAAUUCUCACUCUUGUUUGGAUCAAGAUUUACAAGUUUUUGUUUUUUCUCAUGGUUACAUUUCCGUUUAUGGAAGGGGGCCAACUUUAAUAAAAGAUUCUAAUGGAUAACAUGCAAUAACAAUUCAAGCCUUCAUGUUGAUUGAAGUUUCCUCACAUUUGUAUUCUCUCAAUCUCUUCCUCUACCAUAUACUUUUAAUGGUAUUGUUUGUGUGUUUUUUAGGUGUUUGGAAGGGGUGGGGAGGAGAUGGAUUUCUUGCAACAGCAAGGAAUUCACGUAAAAAUUGUCCAAGGUACAACAAAGAAGUUAAGAUUUGGUAUCGCAACCUCUUUAUGCUUUUUCUUGGGGAACUCUA